rnacentral:rRNA from 1 species
CUCGUAGACUCCUACGGGAGGCAGCAGUGGGGAAUAUUGCACAAUGGGGGGAAGCCCUGAUGCAGCCAUGCCGCGUGUGUGAAGAAGGCCUUCGGGUUGUAAAGCACUUUCAGCGAGGAGGAAAGGUUGACGGUUAAUACCCGUCAGCUGUGACGUUACUCGCAGAAGAAGCACCGGCUAACUCCGUGCCAGCAGCCGCGGUAAUACGGAGGGUGCGAGCGUUAAUCGGAAUUACUGGGCGUAAAGCGCAUGCAGGCGGCCAAGUCAGUCAGAUGUGAAAGCCCCCGGGCUUAACCUGGGAAUUGCAUUUGAAACUGCUUGGCUAGAGUCCUUGAGAGGGGGUAGAAUUUCAGGUGUAGCGGUGAAAUGCGUAGAGAUCUGAAGGAAUACCAGUGGCGAAGGCGGCCCCCUGGCAAGAGACUGACGCUCAGAUGCGAAAGCGUGGGGAGCAAACAGGAUUAGAUACCCUGGUAG